UUGCAGCCAACUAAGCCCACUGUGCUCUUUUCCCCAUGGGAGCACAGUGUGCAAAUGGCUGCAAACAGCAGCGUUCUCAGUAGUGCAUGCAGCCAGUUGCCUGUACAGGUUGCUCUAAGGGAUCUUGGAGACAGCC